rnacentral:rRNA from 1 species
GAUUUCCCAUUCCGCAAGGAAGUAAGAUCCCUGAAAGAUGAUCAGGUUGAUAGGUCUGAGGUGGAAGUGUGGCGACACAUGGAGCUGACAGAUACUAAUCGAUCGAGGACUUAACCACA